ensembl:lncRNA
UAGUCAACAGAGCACCUUCUUACAUGUUCUCUUGGCCACAGAGACUCAAAACUGAAGCACUUCUCACAUUACCUGUUCGAGACCAAAGACUUUUAGAGCUUAUCUGUCAGAGAUUCAACCUCUGAAGGAUUUCUCACAACUGCUUGUCAGGACUGGAGACUGAAAGAGCUUAUCUUUCAGCCUCAGGACUUGACAGAGACAGAAUACAACUAUAAUUUCAUGGCAACCCCAAACCCCAGCAGUGACUGCUCGGACUCAGAGCAGUCCCAUAUGAAAAUAAAUUCCCCGGAGAGCCUCGCAGGGGAUGAUCUCCCUGAUUCCCACACCUUCCACAAAGAGACCAAAACCACCCUCAAAGGUAACGUGUGUCACCAGGAGACAACAACCUUUCAUGAAGGAUAUGUUGUGGGUUCCUCAGUCAACGGCCACCCUACUGUGGAAGGACCAGAGGACACAGGGAGUCUAGGAAGAUGCAUGGACAAUAAUUCUGACACCACCAAGGACAACCCUAACCAGGCGCAUAUACAGAUGUAUCCUGAUGUGGAAGAGGAUGAGGAGACAGACUCAGAUAGCGAAGGCGAAGGAGCUGAUCAAAUUGUCACUAACAACAACAAGUGGAUAAAUAAGAAUUUAAGACUCAGAGGGCUAUACAUUGACCCUGUGGAUGGCUGGCCAGUAAUUCAGCUUGUCAGUCCCAAACUCACCAAGGAACAAGCACCAGAAGAUAGUCACAAUGAGGAGAGAAAGGAGGAAAGCGAAAGCAGCGAAGAUGAAUAUGGGGAUGCAGAUAAACUAAUUGAAAACUUCAAAGACCAAGAUGAAGGCAUGCUAAUGGGAUUAAUUGAAAAAGAAAAAGAGGACACGAAGAUCAAGAACAACGAAGACACCUGGAGUGAUGACGAAGAGUAUGUGGACCUUUAUGAACGA